rnacentral:misc_RNA from 1 species
GAUGAAGAACGUAGCGAAAUGCGAUAAGUAAUGUGAAUUGCAGAAUUCCGUGAAUCAUCGAAUCUUUGAACGCACAUUGCGCCCCUUGGUAUUCCAUGGGGCAUGCCUGUUCGAGCGUCAUUUGUACCUUCAAGCUUUGCUUGGUGUUGGGUGUUUGUCCUGAGGGACUCGCCUUAAAGUAAUUGGCAGCCAGUGUUUUGGUUUUGAAGCGCAGCACAAGUCGCGAUUCAAAGCUAUACGCCAGCUUCCACAAGCCUUUUUCACUUUUGACCUCGGAUCAGGUAGGGAUACCCGCUGAACUUAAGCAUAUCAAUAAGCGGAGGA